AACGCCUUUGUCGUCCAAAAGUUCCUCUUCCUCGAGGAUCAGCUGCGCGAUCUCGUCGUCCGUGAGAUUUUGGUUCGGCACGAUCUCGCUGUUGGCGUCUUUCGGCUUCUCGGGGAGCGGUUCCACCUCCUGCUUCGAUCCCUCUUCCUCCUCGCACGUCUUUAUCUCAUACUCGUGGCGUUCGAUCACGGUCUCCUCCUUCAAGAUUUGCUCCGGGAAAACUGGCGGCAAAUCCGCGAGCUGGUACAAAUUUUCCGCCGAUCAAAUCAAUUUUCCAGCGAGCACAAAAAUCGUACACAUGUACAUAUAUAUACAAUGAAAUUCACACAUAUAUUUUAACGUGAGAUACGUACAGGGAUCUUAUAAGGGACGAUGUUCUCCUCGGACAGCGCCUCCGCAGCCUUGACAAAAUCUUCUUGUCUGCGUCAACGGAGAAGUGGUCGGUUGAUUAAUUUCGAAUUUUUUUCUUUUUUCCUUUUCUUUUCUUUCCUCUCGAUCGAUCGAUCUGUCACGCGCAUUCGCAUACACUCGAGUGUUCAGCUACCAAGUGAACGGAAUUGGAACGGAGGUUGGAAUGAAGUUAACUACUUUUCGAAGCUUACUCGCAAGGUUCACACGCGAAAGGGUAAUGAGAGGGAUCGUGGAACAAAUGUGCGCGAUGUAAAAUGCCAGCAAUAAAAUCGCCGACCAAUGAUAAACAGAUCUCAUUCUGGGUCACCUAUUUAUAAGUGUUGCAAUAUGUUACCACACGUUGCCCGUACGCCGGGAUAUUCUUGCCUCUCUCUGAUCGUGUUAUAAUAUUCGUAUAUAAGUAUAUACGAAGACAAUUUCCUUUCUUUUCUUUUCUUUUUUUUUUUUUUUUUCCCCCUUUAUCUCAAGUCGAAUCGAAUUGAGAUACACCGAUCUGCUUCAUCUAACGAAUUAUUUGCUAUUGAAAUGGAAAUAUAUAACGUGAUAGAAGUGUAGCGACCUCGAAGAAUCGUCGGUCGAUACACGAGUUUGUCAAGGGUACUCGAAAUAAAAUUCGUCGCGGUAAAAAAGUAGUUCAAGUUAAGCUCGACCUCGAAGAAGCGGUCGGUCAAUUCGGUUGCGACGAUGCAGCAGUGUCGUUGACAUUGAUAUCGAAUUGUUUUCGAGUGGCUGGGUUGCGGGAUCUACUUCCGAUAAGGAUGUACACGAGUAACGCGAGUAUUUUUAAAGGUUACUUUUGAUGGUUGGAUUUCAUUAUUAAUUAAUAAAUUCAGGUAACGCACACAAGCUUACCUCAGCACGCCAAGAACAAAAUUAUUUCCUGCUCGCAUUAAUUCUUCGUGCGCCUGUCCGUGGGUUAAAGAACUAAUGGGUUGAUCGUUUAAUCUUACCACCACGUCGCCGACUUUUAAACCCAUACAUUCCGCCAAACUUCCCUCUGUGACCUAAGAAAUGUUUUUUCACGUUUCAAUUUUCAUUUUCACUCGAAUGAAACUGGAUAAUUGAAAUUAAAACUACUUUACGAACGAUGAGAUAGACGAGGAGGAGAAGGAGGAGGAGGAGGAGGAGGAGGAGAAGGAGCAGGAAAAUUUCAUAAUCGACGAAUAAAUCAAGAAAGUUUGGAAAAA